UUUUAUGGAGAGUUUGAUCCUGGCUCAGAGUGAACGCUGGCGGCGUGCCUAAUACAUGCAAGUCGAACGAUGAAGCUUCUAGCUUGCUAGAAUGCUGAUUAGUGGCGCACGGGUGAGUAACGCAUAGGUCAUGUGCCUCUUAGUUUGGGAUAGCCAUUGGAAACGAUGAUUAAUACCAGAUACUCCCUACGGGGGAAAGAUUUAUCGCUAAGAGAUCAGCCUAUGUCCUAUCAGCUUGUUGGUAAGGUAAUGGCUUACCAAGGCUAUGACGGGUAUCCGGCCUGAGAGGGUGAACGGACACACUGGAACUGAGACACGGUCCAGACUCCUACGGGAGGCAGCAGUAGGGAAUAUUGCUCAAUGGGGGAAACCCUGAAGCAGCAACGCCGCGUGGAGGAUGAAGGUUUUAGGAUUGUAAACUCCUUUUGUUAGAGAAGAUAAUGACGGUAUCUAACGAAUAAGCACCGGCUAACUCCGUGCCAGCAGCCGCGGUAAUACGGAGGGUGCAAGCGUUACUCGGAAUCACUGGGCGUAAAGAGCGCGUAGGCGGGAUAGUCAGUCAGGUGUGAAAUCCUAUGGCUUAACCAUAGAACUGCAUUUGAAACUACUAUUCUAGAGUGUGGGAGAGGUAGGUGGAAUUCUUGGUGUAGGGGUAAAAUCCGUAGAGAUCAAGAGGAAUACUCAUUGCGAAGGCGACCUGCUGGAACAUUACUGACGCUGAUUGCGCGAAAGCGUGGGGAGCAAACAGGAUUAGAUACCCUGGUAGUCCACGCCCUAAACGAUGGAUGCUAGUUGUUGGAGGGCUUAGUCUCUCCAGUAAUGCAGCUAACGCAUUAAGCAUCCCGCCUGGGGAGUACGGUCGCAAGAUUAAAACUCAAAGGAAUAGACGGGGACCCGCACAAGCGGUGGAGCAUGUGGUUUAAUUCGAAGAUACACGAAGAACCUUACCUAGGCUUGACAUUGAGAGAAUCCGCUAGAAAUAGUGGAGUGUCUAGCUUGCUAGACCUUGAAAACAGGUGCUGCACGGCUGUCGUCAGCUCGUGUCGUGAGAUGUUGGGUUAAGUCCCGCAACGAGCGCAACCCCCUUUCUUAGUUGCUAACAGGUUAUGCUGAGAACUCUAAGGAUACUGCCUCCGUAAGGAGGAGGAAGGUGGGGACGACGUCAAGUCAUCAUGGCCCUUACGCCUAGGGCUACACACGUGCUACAAUGGGGUGCACAAAGAGAAGCAAUACUGCGAAGUGGAGCCAAUCUUCAAAACGCCUCUCAGUUCGGAUUGUAGGCUGCAACUCGCCUGCAUGAAGCUGGAAUCGCUAGUAAUCGCAAAUCAGCCAUGUUGCGGUGAAUACGUUCCCGGGUCUUGUACUCACCGCCCGUCACACCAUGGGAGUUGUGUUUGCCUUAAGUCAGGAUGCUAAAUUGGCUACUGCCCACGGCACACACAGCGACUGGGGUGAAGUCGUAACAAGGUAACCGUAGGUGAACCUGCGGUUGGAUCACCUCCUUUCUAGA
rnacentral:rRNA from 1 species